UUCAUCUCCAGCCCCGUUCCUCUAUCCCAAUUCCCAAAAUUUUUGUUUUUUCCCUCUCAUCUUUCCCUCCCUUGUAACCUAAAAUCAACUCUGUGUUCUCACAUAAUUAACCCGGCAAACGCAUCACCUGUUUCUUUUUUUUUUCACAUUCAAAAUUUUCAGAAAACCGCUCUCGCCGAACACAUCACCUGUUUUGUUUCCUGAAAUCCGGUGGUAGAAAAGGGUAGGGUUAGAAUAGGGAUCGGUGGAUACCACCACAGAUCCGGUGGUAUAAGGGUAAGGUUGGACACCGCCACAGAUCCGACUCAAAAUCACCGGUGCUGUAGAAGUUGAUGAUGCCAUCAUCGUUGAACACCCUCUGCCUCGGUUUUUCUAAGAAGGUACAGAGGAUUGAAGUGGAUCUGGUGCUACACAUGUAUAGAUGAUAAAAAGGAUUGAAGUGGAUCUGGUUCUACACAUGAGUACAUGAUUCAAAGGAUUGAAGUGGAUCUGGGGCUACAUAUGAUAUUUGACACCACAACCGUCGGCUACGGUUUAUUUGGGCAAUCCUCGACUGUUAAGGGAAGGAAGAAGACUUGAAACUUCUGUCAACGGGGAAGCAAAACUCUGGAUCUUCCCGAGAACUUUGAAACUCCUGGUGUUGAGGUUAUCACUGGUCCUCUUGGUCAAGGUAUUGCAUGUUGGUUUGGUUCUUGUUGAGAAGCAAUUGGCUGCUCGUUACAACAAACCUGAUGCUUAGGUUGUCAACCACUACACAGCUAACACAUGGGUGGAAGGUAACCUAGUCCCAGAGGUCGCUAUGGUGGUUGUAGCCGUGGAAGAGAUCUUCCAACAAGUUUUUUGGUUUGUAAUCUUCGUCUUGAUUGGCGUUCCUAGAGGGAUUCAGCCCUAAGAGCACCACCAACAAGUAAGGAAGUGGUUGACCAAGAUGGGAGCAGAUGCCAAAUGUGCCAUUUGCACGAACCAAAAUUUCUGAUUCACCUUAAAUUGCUACCUUGCAUCCAGAAAUUGAUCUGUAGAUUUCUUUUUUUUAGAGCUUGAUCCCCCAGAUUUUGCAAAGCCAAAGGGUUUCCAUAUGGUCUAUACACUCCACAAAUGGCUAUGUAAUACCCUUUUCGCCCACUUAUUUGAUGACCAUUAACGCAAUGUUGUCAUAUCUCAUGAAGAUUGUAGAGGUUCAUGAAUGCAAGUGGGUUUGUUGUUGUAAGUGCUAUUAGGAGUGAUGCGGGUUCCAUUGCAAUUGCUACAUCAUUUGUAGAUACCUUUUGUUUAGAAGUUCUGUAGCUUUAAUACUCUAAUUGAGGCCUUAUGUAUGAAUUUUGGUAU
rnacentral:lncRNA from 1 species